rnacentral:rRNA from 1 species
UACGAAGGGGGCUAGCGUUGUUCGGAUUUACUGGGCGUAAAGCGCACGUAGGCGGAUCUUAAGUCAGAGGUGAAAUCCCAAGGCUCAACCUUGGAACUGCCUUUGAUACUGGGGAUCUUGAGUCCGGGAGAGGUGAGUGGAACUGCGAGUGUAGAGGUGAAAUUCGUAGAUAUUCGCAAGAACACCAGUGGCGAAGGCGGCUCACUGGCCCGGUACUGACGCUGAGGUGCGAAAGCGUGGGGAGCAAACAGG